rnacentral:tRNA from 1 species
AGGGGUAUAGCUCAAUUGGCAGAGCGUCGGUCUACAAAACCGAAGGUUGGGGGUUCGAUUCCCUCUGCCCCUGCCA